AUUGAACGCUGGCGGCAGGCUUAACACAUGCAAGUCGAGCGGGGACUUCGGUCCUAGCGGCGAACGGGUGAGGAAUGCUUGGGAAUCUGCCCAGUAGCGGGGGAUAACGUUUCGAAAGGAACGCUAAUACCGCAUACGCCCUACGGGGGAAAGGGGGGGAUCUUCGGACCUCUCACUAUUGGAUGAGCCCAAGUCGGAUUAGCUAGUUGGUGAGGUAAAGGCUCACCAAGGCGACGAUCCGUAGCUGGUCUGAGCGGAUGAUCAGCCACACUGGAACUGAGACACGGUCCAGACUCCUACGGGAGGCAGCAGUGGGGAAUAUUGGACAAUGGGCGACAGCCUGAUCCAGCCAUGCCGCGUGUGUGAAGAAGGCCUUCGGGUUGUAAAGCACUUUAAGCGAGGAGGAAUGGCUCCGGGUUAAUACCCUUGAGCAUAGACGUUACUCGCAGAAUAAGCACCGGCUAACUCUGUGCCAGCAGCCGCGGUAA
rnacentral:rRNA from 1 species